CUAGUGGCCAACUUCUCAGCCAUGCUUAACACUGCAAUGUGGUUAAAUACAGGCUGUAGUCUCUGGGACCCUAGGGAGAUUCACUCUAUCUCCCCUGGGCCCUGGAUGACAUCAGAGUCACCCCCACCUGACCCCAGUAAGCAGGAAGACACCCCUGGAGUGACAAGUGUGUGAGGAAGCCAGACUGGACUUCCUGUGAACCUUGCAAAUGAAAGCCAUUGCAAGACUGCAAUCAGAGGGAUGAUGAGUGGCUGACGGCAACAUGGAGGAUAAAUCAGGCGGAAGAGUGGUGGCAGGGUUACUUGAAAUGCCAUCUCCCAGGCUUGAAGUGCUAAAAAUUCCCACUGAAGAAAACAUAACUUUCUUGCCUGGGAAAUCCCGCAGGCAGAGGAGCCUGGUGAGCUACACUCUUUGGGGUUGCAAACAGUCAGAUACAACUUAGCAACUAAAUAGCAACAGGAAGUGACAUAAAUGCCCACUGACAGAGGAAUGGAUAAAGAAGACGUGGUUCUGCUAAGUCACUUCAGUCAUGUCCAGCUCUGCGAUGCUAUGGACUGUAGCCUGACAGGCUUCUCUGUCCAUUGGAUUCUCCAGGCAGGAAUACUGGAGUGAGUUGCCAUUAAUAGAAUAUUACUCAAUAAAAAGAAUGAAAUAAUGCCAUUUGCAGCAACAUGAAUGGACCUAGAGACUGUCCCACUGAGUGAAGUAAGUCAGACAGAGAAGGAGAAAUAUCCUAUGAUGUCCUUUGUAUGUGGAGUCUAAAAAGAAAUGAUACAAAUGAACUUACUUACAAAACAGAAAGAGACUCACAGACUUAAGGAAUGAAUUUAUGGUUGCUGGGGUGGAGGGAAGGAUGAGGGGAAAGGAAAAUUUGGGAUUGACAUGUAUACACUGCUGUAUUUAAAAUGGAUAAACAAGAAGGACCUACUACAUAGCACAGGCAACUCUGCUCAAUGUUACGGCAGCCUGGAUGGGGGGUGGGGGUGUCUGGGGGAGGAUGGAAGCAUGUAUAUGUGUGGCUGAGACCCUUCGCUGUACUCGAAACUAUCACAGCAUUGUCAACUGGCUAUACCCCAAUACAAAAUAAAAAGUUUGAAAAGCAAAAAAUAAAAUAUAAACUCUCAGC
ensembl:lncRNA